rnacentral:lncRNA from 1 species
GUCAAGCACUAUGUAUUAAUUGUAUGACACCCUCAAGUCUCUCAAUGUAUGUGAUAUUUAUGGUUCACUCUUGAGGCAUUAAUGAUGCUAUGCCUCCUAUAGCUAAAGGUAUAUAUAUGGUAGAGCUUAUAGGAGUGCUAAUAACAAGGAUAGGCAUACUUGCAAUGCAUGUAUUGUAAAGUCAACUAAUGGAUCCAUUGAGAAUUGAGGCAUAUAAUAAAACCAAUGUGUGCAUGUGUACGGAAUAUGGUGGAUGGGUGUAUCUGUGGUAUUUGUGGCGAAUUUCUAUUUCUACUUUUGCUCCUCGAGAUAAAUCUCUCCUUUGAUCUUGGAACUUUUCACAGGAAAACAUGAGCUAUCUUUAUUUAUUUAUUUAUUUAUUUUUUUAUUAAGGGAGGCGGCAUCUAGUACCCAUUGUUUUAAUUAGUGGGACACUUGUCCAUCUUUUACUCCAUUUUCUUCUCUUCUUAUCUUUUUUUUCAAUAACUUUCCUUUUGCAUAGCCACAUGCAUCCUUUGAAUACAAUAUGGUAAUUAGAGAGAUAACAAUAAGUACUUAGAGCAAUUAAACAAAGGUUGUCCUAUGGUUUUGGUUUCUAUUGGUGUUUACUCCCAGUGUAGGAGACUAAUGCAUAUGUGAACUGGAGUGUGUACGUGAUCUUGGUCUUAAAAGCAUGACAAGACUCUCAUAAGGUAUACUACAAAGGUUGACUGAACUCAAUGCAAAGCAAGCAGCAUAAAUGUGCAAAAAGUUUUCCUAACUCUAGAUGUAUAUUAUAUAUGGCUUUGGUACGAAUUCAAACUUGUCAUACAAAAGCUCAUCAUGUUGGAUUUCAGGUUUUCAAAAUAAAUCUCCAGAACUUAGUAAUGCUAGGAAUAAGAUAAAUAGCAGCUCAAACUGUCAAUAAUCAUAUCAACCAACUAUCUAGACUUAGCUCAAACUUAUGCCUCCACAAGUUGCAGGUUCAGAGUAAACCUUCAAAUUAAAAUAGUAAUGUCCAAAAAUCGAGAGAAUUUAAUGUUGAAAUCUAGGUACUUGUAAAGAACUAUAACAGAGCAAUUAUACAUCAUCUCCAAGACAAAAAUUUUAAUGUCCAUAAAAUUUUUAUUUAGCUCUAGUUUAACCUGACUCUGAACAGACUCUAACACUUAACUAAUUAUAAACUCACAAAAAGACUAUGACUUGGGGACCUUCAUGUGCCCACAUAUUUUUGGCAUUUUUAUGGUUUUUCUAUGAUACUAUGGUGAACCUUCAUGUGCUCAAAUAUUUUUGGUAUUUUUAUAACUAUGUAGACUCGAAAUCACUUAAGUAUAAUUACCCGAUAACUGGAAGUCUAAAUCAUCGAAGUGGAAUUUUAAAGGUUUAGGAUUGAUAGCUAAGUCUUAGGAAUGAGAUGAUUGUAUUUUAGUUAUCAAGACUUCUAUUUUUAAUUUAGAUAAUAAAUCUGUUUCUUCUUUUGGGGAGUUCAGAAAGAGCCAGAGCAACUCUUUUGAGCAUAAACUCUUGCUUUUAAAAGAUAAGAAAGGACUCUCAAGAAGAUCUAGGGAUUCCAUGUAACUCUUGGUAAGACCCAAUUGUUGAAUAAACAUGGGGCCUAGCAAACCAAUAUCAAGAUUAAUGAUCCCAUGAUAUAUUUGAGAAGGGUUUAUUAUAUUAUGGAGACAUGGGCAUAGCCUAUAGAUAUCAUGAUAAGGUUUAUGCUUUAAAGCUUUUGCACAUGCCAUAAAGAUUGGUGUGGAAUUUAAAUAAAUAUCCAUAAGGAUAAACAUAAAAAUAAUGAAGAGACUAUGAUAAAAUAGGAAAAGAUAAAAGUAUAAUACAAGUUUAAGCUAAACUAAAUCAAAAUCAGCAAACCGUUCCCCGACAACGACACCAAAAAUGUUUGUUGGUAUAAAUUAACUACACUCUAUUAAAUAAUUUUUAAGUAGGAUUAUCCACAAGCGCACAGAUAUCGUACCAGUGUCACAUUUUACCUGGAGAUUUUAAACAUCGUAUCCACAAGGAACAGUUGUGAUAAUGACAAAGUAUGUAGACUUAACCCUACAAUUAGAUUAGAUCAUAUCAAGAAAAAUGAAAUAGCUAAUGCACUCUGGUUCUGACUCUGGUAAACUUUGUCUAAUAUCAUCUUAUCAGGCAAGUAACCCGAAUAGGAAAAGAUACAGAGUAAUCUUCUACCAGGCACCUAUAAGCGUAUCAGUCCUAUCAACGGGAUAUGGACUACAAAGGAAUCAACGCAGCUAUAAAGUCACCAAUGCGAGCUACCACACUCCGGCCGAUCAGGGGACAUCCACAAGUAAAGCUAGCCUAGGCACCAUGCCUACACUACGAAAUACUACUUCAACCUAGGAAUGACCAAGAUCAAAGCACUCAAUAUGGGUUGUGAACCAAAGAACGAUUAAGAACAAGUUGCUUACUUAAAUUAAAAUGGUAAGUACAAAAGAACCUCAGUGCGUAGCUCUGGGCAAGGGAACUGGAUCCAGACGAAUAUAGCCACGAAGAAGCGCCAAUAGGCCAGAACUUCUCCAGAAUCUCUACUCCUCUACUCAAUCUCUCUAAUAUCUAAACAAGACUAGAUCUAUAAGAACUAGUCUCUCUUAAUUUCUACAUCUAGAUGAACUAGAUUUAGAUCAACUAGAGGGACCCUAACCCUAAUUAUGUAGAGAUUACGAAGCUCUGGGGUGUAGAAUGCCUCUUGUGGGAGCCUUGAGCAUCAUUAUAUAGGCCGAGCUGCAGUAGGGGGCAAGGAACCGCCAUGUCUGCGUUCCGCGUCUUCAUUUUGUGUGCACCGUCAGAUCAAACUGACUUAAAAUCAAUGGAGGGAUACUUUGCUUGGCUUCCAAGGAGGCAUGGGAGGAAGACUCCAGAAGGCGGCGGGCAUCGGGCAAAAUAGGGCGCCGACCGGCCCUAGGGUGGGGCCGGCUGGCCCCACCUUGUUUCCUCUGCAUGUCUCAUUCCUUCGGGUGUAUUCUAGACCCUUCCCGAGUCUUCUCCUGAUGUUUUCCGUCGUGGAUGAGUUUCAUGGUAAAUAUGCACUAGAAUCUCUCUUUUCAGCUCUUUGUGAAAUAAACCCUAGAAAAUGCAGAAUAUGCAAAACACGUGGAAAUUGUCAGUUUAAACCCAAGACUAGUGUGUUUUCAUGUUCUCUUUGGGUUUAAAGUUCUAAUAAAAGUUGACGUUAUCGACUGUCAACAAUUCCUCCAAGCUUACCUUUUGCCAGUCCCUUGGCAAACCAAGCCGAAGCAGUAUAUGUAUUUGGAUCAAGAGUUGCUACAAUGUUUUCAUUCUUUCCAAGUACACAUGCUCCUAAACAAAGAUUCUCCUUCGGAUUAGUCAAUAACUGCUCUAAUCUUCAAACUUACCCAUUUUACCCUUAACCAUGGGGCUUUACAGCUUUUGCAUGAGUCUUGAGCAAUCAGAAGACAGAACAAUCAGGUCAAGCACUAUGUCUCAAAUUCUUUACAUAACCAUUAUUUCGGAGUUUUUUAUAUGUUUUCAGAAUAAAACUCAGAGCUUAAUUGUAUGAUACCCUCUAGUCUCUCAAUGUAUGUGAUAUUUAUGGUUCACUCUUGAGGCAUUAAUGAUGCUAUGCCUCCUAUAGCUAAAGGUAUAUAUAUGGUAGAGCUUAUAGGAGGGCAAAUAACAAGGAUAGGCAUACUUGCAAUGCAUGUUUUGUAAAGUCAACUAAUGCAUCCAUAGAGAAUCGAGGCAUAUAAUCAAACCAAGGUGUGCGUGUGUACGGAAUAUGGUGGAUGGGUGUAUCUAUGGUAUUUGUGGCCAAUUUCUAUUUCUACUUUUGUUCCUUGAGAUAAAUCUCUGUUUUGAUCUUGGAACUUUUCGCAGGAAAACAUGGGCUAUCUUUAUUUAUUUUUUAUUUAUUUUAUUUAUUAUAUCUUUUUAUUCAGGGAGGCGGGCAUCUAGUACCCAUUGUUUUAAUUACUAGGACACUUGUCCAUCUUUUACUCCCUUUUCUUCUCUUCUUAUCUUUUUUCAAUAACUUUCCUUUUGCAUAGCCACAUGCAUCCUUUGAAUACAAUAUGGUAAUUGGAGAGAUAACAAUAAGUACUUAGAGCAAUUAACCUAUCAUAAUCAACAAAUUGAAUAAUGGUAGAGAUAACCAAAGUUAGCAACAUAGGAUUUUCUAAAUAAGGCCAUUCCCCCAAGCUAGAAUUUUGCAAAAUAAAUGUUAGCUCGAGUGGAUGUAAUUCGAAAUUGCAUAAUGAUAGGUUAGUGAUACUUGGUGCUGCCGUUAUUAAUUCUCUCACUUCAAACCUAAAAUGGUUAGUGACAAGAAUAUUCACAGGAAUAUUUUGACAAUUCUAUUUCUAUGCUAAAGGUGCAGGCUUAAUUCAUUUUUUUAAGAGUGGUUAUUUUAGAACACAAAGUUGUUGUCAGGAAACCUUCUGGUUAUUAUAAUUUGAGUAGGUGAGGUGGUUUCCUCUAGAACAUUAGCCUUUGUGCACCUAUAUAAAGAUUACAACGAGAUCUAUAAUAUUUGUGAUAAACAUAUGCAUCUACUACCACCCUCUUAAUGAUUUUAUGAAUAGGUAGAAUAAAGGGGUUGAGGAUCUCAUGUGUGAUAAUAUUAGAGACUAUUUGAUCUAGGAGAUUUCUCAUAUGAGCAUGGGUCUGAUAGGGUGUUUAAUGAAAUAAUUCACAUACUCGAAAAUAUGAUCUCCCUUUUCAAACUCCAAGGGUGUCUCUUCAUGGUUGUCUAUACGCAAUAAGUUUGCAUCUAUUAUUUCAUGCCUAUGACAUUUAUUAUAUAUUUUAUUUUCUAGUAUUUCCCAUGAAUUGAUGUCUCCAAGAUUGGUCUCUUCUAAAGCUUUUUCUAAACAAGGUUGGGUUAUGUUUAUUAAAGAAAUUGAUUUAAGCUCAACAUUUGAAUUUAGACCAAGUUUAGAUUCUAGUGCCAAAACUUCAUCUUCUUCCAUCCAUUCUUUGACAAUAGCAUAUGUAUUUCUAAUAUGUUCUACACGUUCCUACUAUUGUCGUUGCUCUUCAAGGGCAUUCAUAUAAUCUUCAUGACUCCUAUUCUUAGGAUGUCUUGAUGGAUUUCUAGGGUCAUUAAGAAGUUUAGUAGAAGGAGCAUAACAAGAUUUAUUGGGGGGUCAAGGAUGGGUUUAGAGAUGGGUUCAAAGACAUUUAAUAUGGGCAUAGAAGGGGAGAAGAUAGAAUUUAUUUCUAAGUGGCUUGGCUCUCCUUCUAUGGCAUCACUUGGCAUGCCAUCCUUGCAUUUUUUCCAAUGUCUUUUUUGGAAGAAAAGGAAGCUGAUGAUGGUUUUUCCAAGAUACUCUUCUAAGAAGAUCUGAUAUGCGUUGAUUUAGGAGCAUCUUAGCUAACUAGAAGUCUAAAUCAUUGAAGUGGAAUUUUAAAGGUUUAGGAUUGAUAGCUAAAUCUUAGGAAUGAGAUGAUUGUAUUUUAGUUAUCAAGACUUCUGUUUUUAAUUUACAUAAUAAAUCUGUUUAUUCUUUUAGGGAGUUCAGAAAUAGCCAGAGCAACUAUUUUGAGCAUAAACUCUUGCUUUUAAAAGAUAAGAAAGGACUCUCGAGAAGAUAAAUCUAGGGAUUCCAUGUAACUCUUGGUAAGACCCAAAUGUUGAAUAAACAUGGGGCCUAGCAAACCAAGGUCAGGAUUAAUGAUCCCAUGAUAUAUUUGAGAAGGGUUUAUUAUAUUGUGGAGACAUGGGCAUAGCCUAUAGAUAUCAUGAUAAGGUUUAUGCUUUAAGCUUUUGCACAUGCCAUAAAGAUAGGUGUGGAAUUUAAAUAAAUAUCCAUAAGGAUAAACACAAAAAUAAUGAAGAGACUAUGAUAAAAUAGGAAAAGAUAAAAGUAUAAUACAAGUUUAAGCUAAACUAAAUCAAAAUCAGCAAACCGUUCCCCGGCAACGACACCAAAAAUGCUUGUUGGUAUAAAUUAACUACACUCCAUUAAAUAAGUUUUAAGUAGGAUUAUCCGCAAGCGCACAGAUAUCAUACCAGUGUCACAUUUUACCCAGAGGUUUUAAAUAUUGUAUCCACAGAGAAUAGUUUUGAUAAUGACAAAGUAUAUAGACUUAACCCUACAAUUAGAUUAGAUCAUAUCAAGAAAAAUGAAAUAGCUAAUGCACUCUGGUUCUGAUUCUGGUAAACUUUGUCUAAGAUCAUCUUAUUAGGCAAGUAACCCGAAUAGGAGAAGAAAUAGAGUAAUCCUCUACCAGGCACCUAUAAGCCUAUGAGUCCUAUCAACGGGAUGUGGACUACAAAGGAAUCAACGCAGCUAUAAAGUCACCUACGCGAGCUACCACAGUCUGACCGAUCAGGGGACAUCCACAAGUAAAGCUAGCCUAGGCACCACGCCUACACUACGAAAUACUACUUCAACCAAGUAAUGACCAAGAUCAAAGCACUCAAUAUGGGAGAACGAUUAUGAAUAAGUUGCUUACUUAAAUCGGAAUGGUAAGUACAAAAGAACCAUAGAACACAGCUCUGGGCGAGGGAACUAGCUCCAGACGAAUAUAGCCACGACGAAGCAACAAUAGGCCAAAACUUCUCUAGAAUCUCUACUCCUAUACUCAAUCUCUCUAAUCUCUAAACAAGACUAGAUCUAUAAGAACUAGUCUCUCCUAAUUGCUACAUCUAGAUGAACUAGAUCUAGAUGAACUAGAUCUAGAUAAACUAGAGGGACCCUAACUCUAAUUAUGUAGAGAUUACGAAGCUUCGAGGUGUGGAAUACCUCUUGGGGGAGCCUUGGGCGUCAUUAUAUAGGCCGAGGUGCAGUAGGGGGCAAGGAACCGUCAUGUCAGCUAUCUGCGUCUUCAUUUUGUGUGCACCGUCGGAUCAAACCGACUUAAAAUCGACGGAGGGAUACUUUGCUUGGCUUCCAAGGAGGCAUAGGAGGAAGACUCCAGAAGGUGGCGGGCAUCGGGCAAAAUAGGGCGCUGACCAGCCCUAGGGUGGGGCCGGCCGGCCCCACCUUGUUUCCUCUGCAGGUCUCAUUCCUUCGGGGGUCUUCUAGACCCUUCCUGAGUCUUCUCGUGAUAUUUUCCGUCGCGGAUGAGUUUCAUGGUAAAUAUGCACUAGAAUCCCUCUUUUGAGCUCUUUGUGAAAUAAACCCUAGAAAAUGCAGAAUAUGCAAAACUCGUGGAAAUUGUCAGUUUAAACCCAAGACUAGUGUGUUUUCAUGUUCACCUUCGGGUUUAAAUUUCUAAUAAAAGUUGACGUUGACUGUCAAUAAUUCUCUCAAGCUUACCUUUUGCCAGUCCCUUGGCAAACCAAGCCAAAGUAGUAUAUAUAUUUGGAUCAAGAGUUGCGACAAUGUUUUCAUUCUUUCCAAGUACACAUGCUCCUAAACAAAGAUUCUCCUCCGGAUUAGUCAAUAACUACUAUAAUCUUCAAACUUACCCAUUUUACCCUUAACCAUUGGGCUUUACAGCUUUUGCAUGAGUCUUGAGCAAUCAGAAGACAGAACAAUUAGGUCGAGCACUAUGUCUGAAAUUCUUUGUAGAACCAUUAUUCCAGAGUUUUUUAUAAGUUUUCAGAAUAAAACUCAGAGCUUAAUUGUAUGAUACCCUCAAGUCUCUCAAUGUAUGUGGUAUUUAUGGUUCUCUCUUGAGGCAUUAAUGAUGCUAUGCCUCCUAUAGCUAAAGGUAUAUAUAUGGUAGAGCUUAUAGGAGUGCUAAUAACAAGGAUAGGCAUACUUGCAAUGCAUGUAUUGUAAAGUCAACUAAUGGAUCCAUAGAGAAUCAAGGCAUAUAAUCAAACCAAGGUGUGCAUGUGUAUGGAAUAUGGUGGAUGGGUGUAUCUGUGGUAUUUGUGGCCAAUUUCUAUUUCUACUUUUGUUCCUUGAGAUAAAUCUCUCUUUUGAUCUUGGAACUUUUUGCAGGAAAACAUGGGCUAUCUUUAUUUUUUUUUUUUUGUUUAUUUUAUUUAUUAUAUUUUUUUUAUUCAGGGAGGCGGGCAUCUAGUACCCAUUGUUUUAAUUACUGGGACACUUGUCCAUCUUUUACUCCCUUUUCUUCUCUUCUUAUCUUUUUUUCAACAACUUUCCUUUUGCAUAGCCACAUGCAUCCUUUGAAUACAAUAUGGUAAUUGGAGAGAUAACAAUAAGUACUUAGAGCAAUUAAACAAAGGUUGUCCUAUGGGUUUGGUUUAUGUUGGUGUUCACUCCCAGUGUAGGAGAAUAAUGCAUAUGUGAAUUGGAGUGUGUACGUGAUCUUGGUCUUAAAAGUAUGACAAGACUCUCAUAAGGUAUGCUACAAAGGUUGACUGAACUCAAUACAAAGCAAGCAGCAUAAAUGUGCAAAAAGUUUUCCUAACUGUGGGGGGAUAAACCCCUAUACCCUUACGGCUGGACUUCGGCCAGGAGGCUUGGCCCAUUACGAGACGAGUUCAGGGCUUGAUCCGACAACCCGGAGUUUCGCGCAAGGAAACAAGAUGUAGAGAUCAAGCAGAAUUCUAGUCGGUUAGAAUAGGAAUUGAUAUCGAAUUAUCCAUGGCAAUUGUAACCGACUAGGAUUAGUUUCCAGAUCUGUAACCCUGCCCUCCAGACUAUAUAAGGAGGGGCAAGGGACCCCCCUAGGACACAUCAUAUUCUCUCAACACAAAUCAAUACAACCAGACGCAGGACGUAGGUAUUACGCCAACUCGGCGGCCGAACCUGGAUAAAAAGCUUGUCCGUGUCUUGCGUCACCAUCGAGUUCGUAGUUUGCGCACCGUCUACCGAUAAACUACUACCGUGGGUAUACCCCAAGGUAGACUGCCGACCAGCUUUCGUCGACAGUGGCGCGCCAGGUAGGGGGUGUGCGUGCAACUUUUCCGGCGAACAAGAUGGUCACGAUCCCAGCUUCCGCGACCGUGCCCGAAGGCCUCACGUUCACCGUCGGCCAGAUCACGUGGAUGACGUGCAGCGGCGGUUUCGCGACCACGGUUUCGAAAGAGAUCCAGAUCCAAUCUGAGAUCACGCCGUCUCCGACCACACGCAUGACGGCACCAAGCGCCCGACCACCGUUCCCACUCUACAAGGGAAGGGAGAUCGACUGCUCGGACCUUCUCCAAGCACUUGAUCGCGCUGACUCCAAGCUACUCGAAGUUUCCCAACUAAUAGAUGGAGUUCUGCGUCGGCCCGACCAAGCCGCUCCAGCAGAUUUUUUCAAAUCCCGCCGGCCAACUCGUGUCGCCACACACGAACGGCUGGGAACGUCUCUGACGAUAACCUCAACCCCCUCAGGACGAUCCGUCGAGCUCAAGAAGGAAGACUAUCCUUGCGGCCUGAACAACUCGGCCUCUGUUUACUCACAGCACACCCAAUCCGUUUUCAGCAAGGCGGGUUGGUCGCCGACAAGGAACAAUCGUCACCACGUCAACAUGGUGACAAUCCGAGAACUACGGGACGGCCAGGUUUCCAGCACCAACUCAAGCACCGGCUCCGUCCCCACCGAGGUUAUAAACACCGAAGACGAGGACUACGACCUGGAUUUUCCUUCACACCCUCCGGGUUUCGACCGAUUCCCGAUAUUCCCCCCCUGGCGAGGGGAUAUUGUGUUCAAUGUCAGCGCCGACGAACCGGUCGUUGAUGGAGAAACAGAUGACCAGAGGCAACUCCGCGAACAGCGUAACGCCGAUCGCGCCCGACCACGUGCGGACGAGCAACAACAAAUGCCACCAAAUAAUCUCAACGAUGCCUUUGAUAUGGUCGGGGACCAGCCAGUCUACAAAACGCCAAGCGCCAACGUGGCUGUCGCCAUGGCUAACCUGGACCGGCUUCCUGACACCCCCGAAUGCCAGGGAGUCCGGACCAGCGUCCGAGCACACCUGAUCGCCGCAAUGGGACAGACAGCCGCUCUGCUCAAGAGAGUCCAGGACGUCUCUUAUACGGAAGCCGCCUCCGACCAGACUAAUCGUAGUCGGGCCUCACCCAGCAGGCGUCACCACAGCCGCUCCCCCGACAACCAUCGAGGGGACUCACGGCGUGACGAUGGUGGUCGGGACGCCGAUGGCCGCCGCAAGCAGAACCGCGUACGCGGCCAAGAAGAAGAUCAACACUGGGAUCUCCGCCACAACAUCCCUCCCAAAGAUGCCCGGGACCGCAUCAACAGGCGCGCCGCAGAGAGAGCAGUCCACGAAAACCUGCGCCGCAUCGAGUACGAUGCAACGCACGGGCCUCCGGGCCUAAGACAGUUCUCCUCACACCUCCGCCAGGUCGUGUGGCCCCGCAAUUUCAAGCUCGAAAAACUUAAAAAAUACGACGGCAAGGAAAAUCCAGAGAACUGGAUCACCCUCUAUGAAAUCACCGUCCGAUCAGCGGCAGGGGAUGAGCACGUCAUGGCCAACUACUUCCCCGUAGUCCUCGACCAGGCUGGUCAUCAGUGGCUUCUCGGCCUGCCCGAGGACUCCUUCGACUCUUGGGAAGAGCUACGCCAGGCUUUCAUCGACAACUUCAUCGCCACAUGCGAGCAGCCUGGAAAUAAGUAUGAUCUUGAAAGGAUAAGGGACAGGAAGAACGAACCUCUGCGCGAUUACAUCCGACGAUUCUCGGAUAUGCGCCUCAAAAUCCCGAAGAUUUCCCAUGACGAGGCCAUCUCAGCCUUCAUCAAGGGCCUGCGUUUCCACGAAGCGCUGAGGAACAAGCUGUUGCGCAAGCGCCCAACAACGGUAGCAGAGCUCCUCGCCACGGCCAAAAAUUACGCCGAUGCCAAUGACGCAGAAAAACUAAUCCGAGACGAUGCGAGAGGUCCCGACCAGCCUCCCCGGCGAGAUGACGGUCGUGGUCGCUACGACAGCAGAAGCCACCGCCGCUCCGACAACCGCGAUCACCGAGAGGGUUGGGAUCGGCGGCGCGACAGCCGCGACGACUUCAGAGGAAAGCGCCCUCGUGACUACGACCACGAAGUAAAUACGGUCAAACGUCCCAAUGGACGACGGGAUUACCAAGAAGACUACAACAAAAUGUUGAAGGGACCAUGCCAACUACACCCAAAGUCCAAUCAUACCAUGGAAGAGUGCCGCGUCCUCAAAAGUAUCUAUACACGGCGGGCCGCCCAAGACGACUCCGCCAAGAAAAAUAACAAGCGCGACGGGCACGACCACGAAGAUGAGGAUGAGGACCAAGAUAGGGACCCCCGACACCAAUACGUCAGCCCCACUGACGUGGUCCACUCCAUUUUCGGGGGCAAGGUCUCCACCGAGUCCAAGCGGGAAAGAAAGCUGUUAAAGAGAGCCUGCCUCAACAUAGACAGCACGGACGGGCUGAUCGCAGACCCAAAAUUUCCCACGUGGUCCCACAGGGAGAUCUCGUUCAGCAGGAAGGACCAGUGGGCCGCUAUCCCAGAGCCGGGUCGUUUCCCCCUGAUUCUUGACCCCUGCAUCAACAGCAUCAGAUUCGAGCGCGUGCUCGUGGACGGGGGAAGCUCCAUCGACAUCCUCUUCCGCAACAGCCUGCCCGCCCUCAAGAUAUCCCCGGCACAACUAAAACCUUACGACGCCCAAUUCUGGGGGGUUUUGCCAGGUCAAAGUUCCGUGCCUCUCGGACAGAUAACAUUGCCUGUCCAAUUCGGCACACCCGACCACUUCCGGACGGAGUUCAUCAACUUCGUAGUCGCGGAUUUCGACGGGACCUAUCACGCCAUACUGGGCCGCCCAUCGCUGACAAAGUUCAUGGCAGUCCCGCACUACUCAUACCUAGUCCUUAAGAUGCCCACGGAGAAGGGUGUCCUAACCGUCAAAGGCAACGUCUACACUGCAUACACCUGCGAAGAAGAAAGCUUCAAGAUCACCGAGGCAAUUGACCUCUCAAUCCGCAUGGCGGAAACAGCAAACCAAGCCGCACAGCUGCCUCCCGACCAGCUCCGAUUACCCGAACAGACGACAGCCAGGAAGAACUCGAAAUCCAAGGAGUACAAAGAAGUGCAGCUGGUCGAAGGCAACCCCGAGAAGACAGCCCUCAUCGGGGCCAACCUGGAUCCAAAAUAGGAAGACGCGCUCGUCAGGUUUCUAAGGGACAACGUGAGCGUUUUCGCAUGGAAACCCGCAGACAUGCCCGGUGUCCCACGAAACCUGAUCGAGCACUCCUUAAAUGUCUCGAAGACCGCAAGACCAAUCAAGCAAAAACUGUGACGGUUCGCUCGCGACAAAAAGGAGGCUAUUAGGACAGAAAUAACACGGCUUCUAGCAGCCGGAUUCAUAAAAGAAGUGUAUCACCCCGAUUGGCUCGCCAAUCCGGUUCUUGUACGCAAAAAGAAUAAUGAAUGGAGAAUGUGCGUUGAUUACACUGAUCUCAACAAACACUGUCCUAAAGAUCCUUUUGGUCUCCCUCGCAUCGACGAGGUGGUCGACUCAACGGCCGGAUGCGAACUCCUCUCCUUUCUAGACUGCUACUCUGGUUAUCACCAGAUCUCGCUAAAGGAAGAAGAUCAGAUCAAAACAUCCUUUAUCACACCCUUCGGCGCAUACUGCUACACGACCAUGUCUUUCGGACUCAAAAACGCCGGAGCCACUUAUCAAAGGGCCAUCCAGCAAUGCCUCCACGACGAGAUUCGUGAUGACCUCGUCGAGGCCUAUGUGGACGAUGUGGUCGUAAAAACAAGGGACGCGAGCACCCUAAUCGACAACUUAGACCGAACCUUCAAGGCACUUAAUAGGUACAAGUGGAAGCUCAACCCCAAAAAAUGCAUUUUCGGUGUUCCUUCUGGUCUACUGCUCGGCAACGUUGUCAGUCGCGACGGCAUACGACCAAACCCUUCAAAAGUAAAGGCGGUACUUGACAUGCGACCACCAAAAAACGUAAAGGAUAUCCAAAAGCUAACAGGAUGUAUGGCCGCCCUCAGUCGCUUCAUCUCAAGGCUAGGAGAAAAAGGCCUCCCUUUCUUCAAACUGUUAAAAGCGUCGGAAAAGUUUUCUUGGACAGAAGAAGCCGACACCGCAUUCAACCAGCUUAAGACCUUCCUCACUUCACCACCUGUCCUUACAGCGCCUCAGCCCAAUGAAGACCUACUCCUUUACAUUGCUGCAACCGACAGGGUUGUCUCCACGGCAAUAGUGGUCGAGCGAGGUGAACCAGGUCACGCCUACAAGGUUCAGAGACCGGUUUACUUCAUAAGUGAAGUCUUAAACGAGUCCAAGGCCAGGUAUCCUCAAAUACAGAAGCUCAUAUACGCCAUUCUAAUAACGUCAAGAAAGCUGAAGCACUACUUCGACGGCCAUCGAGUCCUGGUGACAACCAGUUUCCCUCUCGGGGACAUCCUGCGCAAUAAAGACGCCAAUGGCAGAAUCGUGAAAUGGGCAAUGGAAUUAUGUCCAUUUUCCCUGGAGUUCCAGAGUCGCACCACUGUCAAGUCUCAGGCCCUGGUCGAUUUCAUUGCUGAAUGGACGGAUCUCAACGAGCCUUCCGUUCCCGAUGCCUCAGACCACUGGUCAAUGUUCUUUGACGGGUCCUUGAACAUCAACGGUGCUGGCGCUGGGAUACUGUUCGUAUCACCCAACAAGGACAAACUGUGUUACGUCCUUCGGAUCCUUUUUCCGGCGUCAAACAACGUCGCCGAAUACGAAGCAUGCUUGCAUGGCAUAAGACUAGCCGUAGAGCUGGGAGUCAAGCGCCUCUAUGUUUAUGGCGACUCCGCUUUGGUCAUCAACCAGCUCAACAAGGAGUGGGACGCAACCCACGAGAAGAUGGAUCUCUACUGCAAAGAAAUUCGCAAAUGGGAAACCAACUUCUACGGCAUAGAGUACAUCCACGUGGUCCGGGAUAAGAACCAAGCAGCAGAUGCGUUGUCGAAGUUAGGCUCAUCUCGGGCCCAGAUCCCGCGGGGUAUUUUCGUCCAGGACAUCCACGAGCCGAGCGUAGGCUCCUCCCUGGUCGACAAGCAGCCCACCGAGGCAAUGCUCAUAGACGACGCCAUCCGACAACCGGUGGGCCUGACUGGCGUACCCCGUUCAUCAAAUACAUAUCAGACGGGAUAGGCCUCCAGGACAAAACAGAGAACGAGCGCCUCAUUCGACGAUCAAAGAACUACGUCCUGGUCGACGGCAAACUCAUGCGGAAAAACGCAAGCUCCGAAGUACUGCUCAAGUGCGUACCCCAAGAUGAUGGUAUCAAGCUCUUAGAGGACAUACAUGCUGGAUCCUGCGGCAAUCACGCCGCAUCCAGAACGCUGGUCGGAAAGGCUUUCCGAGCAGGUUUUUAUUGGCCAACCGCGGUCGGCGACGCAGAAAAACUGGUUCGACAUUGUGAAGGAUGCCAGUUUUUCGCUAAGAGGACCCACGUACCUGCCCACGAAAUUCAAACCAUCCCGUCGUCUUGGCCCUUUGCUUGCUGGGGGCUUGACAUGAUCGGGCCAUUUAAACCAGCCCCGGGCAAUUUCAAGUUUGUUUUCGUGUUAAUCGACAAGUUCUCCAAGUGGAUUGAAUACAUGCCUCUGGUCAAGGCAACCUCCGAGAAGGCUGUGGAGUUCCUCAAUCAAAUCAUACACAGAUUCGGCAUCCCGAACAGCAUAAUCACCGACCUGGGCACUCAGUUUACUGGCACCACUUUUUGGGACUUCUGCGAUGACAGAGGCAUAGUCAUAAAAUACGUGUCAGUGGCACAUCCACGUGCCAACGGUCAAGUGGAACGUGCUAACGGAAUGAUCGUUGACGCCCUAAAGAAAAGGUUGUACACCGAAAACGACAGAGCGCCCGGUCGAUGGAUGAAAGAAUUGCCGGCAGUGGUCUGGGGCCUCCGAACUCAGACCAGUCGAAACACAAGGGUGUCUCCCUACUUCAUGGUGUACGGUGCAGAGGCGGUCCUGCCGUCUGACAUACACUUCGGAUCUCCUAGAAUCGAACACUUCGACCAGGCGACCGCCGACAACGCCAGAGAACUCGAAAUCAAUUGCAUGGAGGAAAAGCGUUUAGAUUCCUGUCUCCGAACAGCAAAAUAUCUCGCGGCAGUCAGGCGAUACUACAACAGGAAUGUCAAGGACCGUUCCUUCGUGGUCGGCGAUCUGGUACUUCGAUGGAAAACAAGCCAGGAGGGAAUGCACAAGCUAUCCACUCCCUGGGAAGGACCCUUCGUGGUGACCGAGGUAACACGACCUACGUCCUACAGAUUGGCAUACCCAGAUGGAACGCGAGUGCCUAACUCUUGGCACAUCGACAAGCUGCGACGUUUCUAUCCAUAAAGUUUUGAUAACUUUCCUUCGUAAGUAUCUUAUAAUUGUUGAUAAUGAAAUUCUCUAUUUUUUGCCUGUACCUUGUCGCACACAGCACUCGGCAAAACUCCUGCAAUGGAUGCUCUUAACGACUACCAAGACGAAUACGGUGACACGUCACUCAGAUAUUCUUACAGCGCUCAAAAUAACAGUCAUGACAAAAAAGACCAACUUUAUUACAAACUUUACAUACCCUGACGGGCAGACACUAGUCUAUUUCUACAGACUACUGGCCUAGCUGCUCGGGCUGAUCACCCGCCUGGCCCUGCUGCCCGGACGAAGGGGUCGGGGCCACCGGCGCCUGGCUGGUCGAGACCGCAGGCGUCGACCGCCCAUCUCCCGCAACGGACGCGCCCGACAACUCCCUGGCCGACCUAUCUGAACUCGGCUGGUCGGGGGGAGUGGCCGUUCCGCACAGAUUGAUGUCGCCGAUCACUGUCGACGACAAGUCCAGCAGACUACCCCGAAGCUCGUCUGCUUCCAGUGGACCGACUUCCUUCGGGUACCCCUUCUCCAGCCGGCUCAAGUCGACCAGGGGGUAGUGGGCGCGCACCAUGCUGAGGACGUGCGCGCCGGCAAACUCCCCGGCGUCCUUCACGAACUGCUGGAGCCAGUCCCACGCCCGUUGCGCCUUCUCGACCGGGGUCAACUGCGGCGCGCGGGGCUGGCUCUCCGGGAGCUCGGGACUGAUCAGGUCUAGGACCGGGGACACUCCUUUCUAGAUCCUGCAACAGUUGACCUUCCAGGAGUCCCGGUCCUUGAUCAGAUCAUCCAGGUGCUUCUUGGCGUUCACCUUGAGCACUGCAAACGAAACAAAGCGUUAUUUUCGGCAUACCAAACAAACAAAGGGGUAACAAGCAGCAGCACCCAUUACCAGAUAAUUCCCGGUCCUUUCGACCUAAUUCCUCUUCCACUCGCCGCCCGGACUCCAGCGCACCGGCGAGCUGUUGGCUGAGCUGCUCCUUCUCUUGUCGGAGGCGCGCCACCUCCUCCUCCAAGUCUGCGUGAAUCAUAAACUGGUCAGUAAAGCAAACUACACAAGUACGCAAAGCUGCUCAGAGCGUGUGACUAACCUUCUCGCUGCCGGUACUGAUCGGCCAAGCGACGAGUGAGGUCGAGACGACGCUCCUCUUGGGCACUCAUCUCGGCCACCUUCUCCCCAACUUCCGACCACAGCCGGUCUACCUCCGCGGCAAGGGCCUUGUUCUCGGCCACGACGCCUUCUAUUUGGUCAAAGCACCGUUUCCGGUACUUUGCCGUUUUCAUUACGCCCUGCAAAGCGAGCGUAUAACGACCAUGCAAGGCAAGGCAUACAAUGUACAGCAGUACAAAAAGCCGCUUACCUUGACUUCGUCGACGAGGCGCUUGGCCGCGCGCUCCACCCUGGCGGCCUCCUCGGUCUCGGCGAGCUCCUCAUGCCCGAUAAAGUGAUCCCCGCGUUGGCGCCACACAUAAACGUGUUGGCGGCCAUCACGGGGACGACCCUCAAUCUCUUCCACCUCGUCAUCGGAGGCCGCCCGGGUCUCCUCCUCUUGCGCUGCGCCACCCCCGGUGGUGGUCCCAGGUAUUACUGGCCCUCGGACCAGACCUGGGGAGCCUGCAGCCGAAGAGGGUCCUGCUCGGGGUGGCGUGGGGACUUCACUCCUCCCGGCAGGAGGAGCGGUCGGGGAUCUUCCCUCCUCUUCUGUGGAGCCAGCUGAGGGAGCCUCUUCAGCCCUGGUCGGGCUGCCUGUCGUAGUCGGUGCUGCGGUCGGGAGCCCCUCGGUGCUCCCAGGCGCGACUGCAGCUGUAGGCUGCUCUGUGGUCUGGGGAGCCGUAUCCUCAGCAGCGCGGACAGGCUCGCCCGUCCCCUGGCUGGCAGCCUGGCCGGGGUCGACAUCCGACGCCGCACUAUAGGAACAAAAGUGUAAUUUCAAAAAAAAAAACAAAGAGAAGUCCAAAAUACGUAAGUCGAACACUUACAGGUCUGAUCGGCGGUGGGUCGCGGUGAACCUCCUCCUCGCCCGGCCGGUCGGCACCUGCGCCCCCAUCUCGACAACUUGCGGUGCAGGGGGGUCGCUGGCCACUCGAUCAGUAGCGGCCGGCGCAUUAUCUGGGCGGCUCCGAGCCCGUCGGACUAACGACGGCGCAGCCUCCUCGUCGUCGUCGUCGUCGUCAACGAUUCGCACGAGCCGACGACGCUUCGGUGCUUGGCUGCUCUCCGCCGGUAGAUCUGCUGGCAGCUCCGGUGUCGGCAAGGGAUCUGCCGGCAAUGGCCUCUUCCCCGCUACCCUCUCCUCAGAGGUCGGGACGGGGCGGGCUUGGUCCUCCUCACUGCUGGUGUAAUGAGUACACCGAGCAGCGUCCUCCUCUGGCGGGUCUUCUCCCGCAGGAUUUUCCAUCCCCGGUGCCAGUGAUACAUACACUGUGCACCGGUCGACAUCGCCGAUCUGCAAAUGCAACAGAGAUGAGUCAGGUGCAGACGAUAUACGAAUGCUAAAACAAAAUAAUCUGCUACAUACCUUUGGUGCUGGUCGUCCUAACUUGAAGGCUUGCACCCGGUCACUGCCACGGAUGAAGCCUCCGUCCGCGAAGUUAAAUAGCUCGUUCAACAGCUGUUGUACCUCCGCUUUCUCCAAGAUCUCCGAUCGCAUCCUGGUCGGGUCCACGCUUCCGGCAUACUCGUACGCCGAGUGCACCCUCUUCUGGCAGGGCAUCACCCGACGACAAAUGAAGUUGCCGACCACGCCAAGCCCGUCCAGGCGCGACCAGUCGAUCAGCUUCAUGAGAUCCGCCACUGGACCGUCGAACUCCGGGCGGUCGGUCUAGCUCAUCCUCUUCUCAGGAAUGUAUCCCACGUCGCAGAAAGUGGAGCUGCCCGGUUCCUCCCUGAUGUAGAACCACUUCCUGUACCAUUCGGUCAAGGAAGUGUUCCAUGGACAGUGCAGGUAGCGAUUCUUCAUUCCAUCACGAAGGUUGAGGUAUACUCCACCUGCAACCUUGGAGCCUCCAACUGCUCCCUUCUUCCUCAAGCAGAAAAGAUACCGAAAAAGAUCGAAGUGCGGCUCUAUGCCAACAUAGGCCUCGCACAAGUGGAUAAAAGUGGAAAUGAGGAGAAUUGAGUUCGGGUGCAGAUUGCAAAUCCCGAUCUCAUAAUACAAAAGAAGACCUUGAAGAAAAGGAUGAACAGUAACACCAAAGCCCUCUUAAUGAAAUCUUCAAAUACGACGAUCUCAACGGCGCGGGGGUCGGGGUAGCUCUCCCCUUCCGGUGCCCUCCAGCCACCGAGCUCCGGGCUGUGCAGAAGCCCCAUAUCGACGAGGUCACCAAGAGAUUUCGUGGUGCUGCGGGACUUUUUCCACUCCUUGGCCAUCAGUUCGGCCCUCUUCUUGGAGUCGCUCUUCGCCAUUGGAGGUGCGAAGGUGGGCUUGAGUUAGGAAGAUGCAGGUGGUUGAAGGAGGCGAGAGCGGAAGGCUUGAAGGCAAUGGCAGGGUAAGCAGUAUAGCGCGGAACUGUCAGGCUCUUAUAACCCGCAACUCCACCUCUCCCACAUCCCGUAAUCUCGGGAAGUGGGCGGGCCAUGCGGCGGAUGCGGCGUUUCGGUUUACAAUGAUUAUAGACAAUUAAUGCGGCGGAACUUUCGUACCAAUUGAUGGUUUCCUUUUCUCAAACCAUGCAAAGGGCGGCUGCACAGUUGCCAGGCGCAAUUUUUCAUGCAUCCAUCUGACACCCUGUCAGGAGGUCUCGUCACGUCAACUUUAACUGGAAAGAUCUUUUCAAAAACAAGAAGACACAUAUGCCAGAGAGUCAACAAUCCAAGGACUGCACCGACCUCCGAGCACUCGACGCUCGGGGACUGGUCGCCCAGUCUAUCAGCUCGGAACUUCAAGGACUGCACCGACCACCGAGCACUCGACGCUCGGGGACUAGUCGCCCAGUCUAUCAGCUCGGAACUUCAAGGACUGCACCGACCACCGAGUACUCGACGCUCGGGGACUGGUCGCCCAGUCUAUCAGCUCGGAACUUCAAGGACUGCACCGACCACCGAGCACUCGACGCUCGGGGACUGGUCGUCCAGUCUAUCAGCUCGGAACUUCAAGGACUGCACCGACCACCGAGCACUCGAUGCUCGGGGACUGGUCGUACAGUACAGCAACACAGAAUUCUAAGGAGCGCACUUGGUGCUUGGGGACUGGUCGAUUGGUCUAUUCCAUUGCAGACGGACUGGUAAAUUCAAUUUUUUAGACCUUGCUACAAGGCUCAUACUUCGCCUUCCAGCAAGCUCGGGGACUACAUCGGUACGAUGCAUCUGGCGAUGCAUCUCAGUUACAGAAUUUCUUUGAGGACUUUUAUUUUGACCCUGGCACCACGUGCCUACGUCACCUACUACCAGGCUCGGGGACUAAGUGGGCACACUUCACCUUGCGGUGAAUAUGCUUGCUUUUUUGAUGUUUAUACCUUUCAAUAAAGUAAAGUGGGCACACUUCACCAGGAAAAGAAAUCUUUUUUAAUUUAGAGCACCAUGCAUUCUUCGAACAACUCGCUUCUUCGAUUUCAAUGUUGAUCAACAGUCUUUUGAGUUGGUCAAAGAACCGUUGCAACUGUUUGGGUGACUUUCCCACUUAUUGAAGACGUCAAGUCUCACUGAUCGAAGAAGCUCAAGACGGCGUGUUACAUCACAAUACAUGGUGCUCGGGGACUAGCUGUGGGGGUAUAAGCCCCUAUACCCUUACGGCUGGACUUCGGCCAGGAAGCUUGGCCCAUUACGAGACGAGUUCAGGGCUUGAUCCGACAACCCGGAGUUUCGCGCAAGGAAACAAGAUGUAGAGAUCAAGCAGGAUUCUAGUCGGUUAGAAUAGGAAUUGAUAUCGAAUUAUCCAUGGCAAUUGUAACCGACUAGGAUUAGUUUCCAGAUCUGUAACCCUGCCCUCCAGACUAUAUAAGGAGGGGCAAGGGACCCCCCUAGACACAUCAUAUUCUCUCAACACAAAUCAAUACAACCAGACGCAGGACGUAGGUAUUACGCCAACUCGGCGGCCGAACCUGGAUAAAAAGCUUGUCCGUGUCUUGCGUCACCAUCGAGUUCGUAGUUUGCGCACCGUCUACCGAUAAACUACUACCGUGGGUAUACCCCAAGGUAGACUGCCGACCAGCUUUCGUCGACACUAACUGUAGAUGUAUAUUAUAUAUGGCUUUGGUACGAAUUCAAACUUGUCAUACAAGAGCUCAUCAUGUUGG